GUGAGGAAUAUUGGUCAAUGGACGCGAGUCUGAACCAGCCAAGUAGCGUGAAGGAUGACUGCCCUAUGGGUUGUAAACUUCUUUUAUAAGGGAAUAAAGUGAGGGACGUGUCCCUUUUUGUAUGUACCUUAUGAAUAAGGAUCGGCUAACUCCGUGCCAGCAGCCGCGGUAAUACGGAGGAUCCACGCGUUAUCCGGAUUUAUUGGGUUUAAAGGGAGCGUAGGUUGAAAUAUAAGUCAGCUGUGAAAGUUUACGGCUCAACCGUGAAAUUGCAGUUGAUACUGUAUGUCUUGAGUGUACAAGAGGUGGGCGGAAUUCGUGGUGUAGCGGUGAAAUGCUUAGAUAUCACGAAGAACUCCAAUUGCGAAGGCAGCUCACUGGGGUACAACUGACACUGAGGCUCGAAAGUGUGGGUAUCAAACAGGAUUAGAUACCCGUGUAGUCC
rnacentral:rRNA from 1 species